AUUGAACGCUGGCGGCAGGCCUAACACAUGCAAGUCGAGCGGAUGAAGGGAGCUUGCUCCUGGAUUCAGCGGCGGACGGGUGAGUAAUGCCUAGGAAUCUCCCUGGUAGUGGUUGAUAACGUCCUGAAACGGGCGCUAAUACCGCAUACUUCCUGAGCGAGAAAGUGGGUGAUCUUCGGACCUCACGCUAUCAGAUGAGCCUAGGUCGGAUUAGCUAGUUGGUGGGGUAAAGGCCUACCAAGUCGACGAUCCGUAACUGGUCUGAGAGGAUGAUCAGUCACACUGGAACUGAGACACGGUCCAGACUACUACGGGAGGCAGCAGUGGGGAAUAUUGGACAAUGGGCGAAAGCCUGAUCCAGCCAUGCCGAGUGUGUGAAGAAGGUCUUCGGAUUGUAAAGCACUUUAAGUUGGGAGGAAGGGCAGUAAGUUAAUACCUUGCUGUUUUGACGUUACCAACAGAAUAAGCACCGGCUAACUUCGUG
rnacentral:rRNA from 1 species